rnacentral:lncRNA from 1 species
AAACAUUCAUAAGCAUCACUCAUAUCAAUCAACAUAAACAUUAUACAUUCCAACACAUUCAUACAUAAACAUUAUACAUUCCAACACAUUCAUACAUAAACAUCAUACAUUCCAACACAUCCAUACAUAAGCCAACUAUGCUUCGAAAAGGUUCAACAUACUUUGUGUCUUCGACACUUGCUACAAUGUGCCUCGACACCUUGCCCUUAUUCUUACCAACCAGGUGAUGAAAUGUACAACAUGUACUCUCCUUCAUGCCACCAACCAGGUGAAGAAGGAACUCAUCUUCGUGCCAUCAACUAAGUGAUGAAAUGUACAACCCAUACUUUUCUUCAUGCCACCAACCAGGUGAUGAAAUGUACAACCCAUACUCUAAUAUCAUUUGGCAACUUGCCACUCAUGCCACCAACCAGGUGAUGAAAUGUACAACCCAUACUUUCCUUCAUGCCACCAACCAGGUGGUGAAAUGUACAACUCGUACUCUAAUAUCAUUUGGAAACUUGUCACUCAUGCCACCAACCAAGUGAAGAAGGAACUCAUCUUCAUGCCACAAACCAGGUGAUGAAAUGUACAACCCAUACUCUAAUAUCAUUUGGCAACUUUCCAUUCAUGCCACCAACCAGGUGAAGAAGGAACUCAUCCUUGUGCCACCAACCAGGUGAUGAAAUGUGAUGAAAGGUGAUGAAGGAACUCACCUUCGUACCACCAACCAAGUGAUGAAAACAACUCACCAUUCAUCCCACCUACCAGAAGACGAGUGGUACAACUUGUACAUGUGAACUCCUAGCAUUCACAAAUAAUAAAAAACCCUCAAACUUGACAACUCAACUAGGGGAGCACUUAUGCCCAACAAGAGUUAUAGUCACCAACAAAGUCUUAUUGCAAGCCAACAAUAACUUCAGUGUAUGGCAUACGAAGAUCAAACUAUUCAGCCCUCUUGCAUCUGUUUCAGACAUUUCCCCUCAGUAAUAAUGCAAACACUAUAACUUGUAGAAAGCUUCACAUUCUUGAUUAAGAUAGUGUGAAGCAAAACCAAUUUAUGGUGCCAACAAGAGCUUCAUUAAAGGAGUUCAACCACAAUUCUCAAAAGCUUCACACACUCUUGAUCAAGACAGUGUAAAGCAAAACCAAUUUAUAGUGCCAACAAGAGCUUCAUCAAUAGAGGGCAACCACAAUUCUCAAAAGCUUCACACACACUUGAUUAAGACAAUGUGAAACAAAACCAAUUUAUGGUGCCAACAAGAGCUUCAUCAAUGGAGGGCAACCACAAUUCUCAAAAGCUUCACACACUCUUGAUCAAGACAGUGUGAAGCAAAACCAAUUUAUGGUGCCAACAAAAGCUUCAUUAAAGGAGUUCAACCACAAUUCUUAAAAGCUUCACACACUCUUGAUCAAGACAGUGUGAAGCAAAACCAAUUUAUGGUGCCAACAAAAGCUUCAUCAAUGGAGGGCAACCACAAUUCUUAAAAGCUUCACACACUCUUGAUCAAGACAGUGUGAAGCAUAACCAAUUUAUGGUGCCAACAAAAGCUUCAUCAAAGGAGUUGAACCACAAUUCUCAAAAGCUUCAUCAAAAGAGUUCAACCACAAUUCUCAAAAGCUUCACACACUCUUGAUCAAGACAAUGUGAAACAAAACCAAUUUAUGGUGCCAAUAAAAGCUUCAUCAAUGGAGGGUAACUACAAUUUUCAAACCUUCGAAGCAAAUUCAAGACUA